GUCACAGUCGCCUAGUGGAUGGGCAACAACCUUCUAAGUUGUUUUGCGU
rnacentral:tRNA from 1 species